AGAGUUUGAUCCUGGCUCAGAAUCAACGCUGGCGGCGCGCCUAACACAUGCAAGUCGAACGAGAAAGGGGAGCAAUCCCUGAGUACAGUGGCGUACGGGUGAGUAACACGUGGAUGAUCUACCCCUUAGUUUGGAAUAACCAUGGGAAACCGUGGCUAAUACCGGAUAAGCUCGAGAGAGGAAAGCAGCAAUGCGCUGAGGGAGGAGUCCGCGGCCGAUUAGCUAGUUGGUAGGGUAAGAGCCUACCAAGGCAAAGAUCGGUAGCCGGCCUGAGAGGGCACACGGCCACACUGGCACUGAAACACGGGCCAGACUCCUACGGGAGGCAGCAGUGGGGAAUCUUGCACAAUGGGGGAAACCCUGAUGCAGCGACGCCGCGUGAGCGAUGAAGCCCUUCGGGGUGUAAA
rnacentral:rRNA from 1 species